UACGGGAGGCAGCAGUCGAGAAUUUUUCACAAUGGGCGCAAGCCUGAUGGAGCGACGCCGCGUGGGGGAUGAAUGGCUUCGGCCCGUAAACCCCUGUCAUUUGCGAUCAACCGUUAGUAUUUAAAAGAUGCUGACCUGAUGGUAGCGAAAGAGGAAGGGACGGCUAACUCUGUGCCAGCAGCCGCGGUAAUA
rnacentral:rRNA from 1 species